rnacentral:rRNA from 1 species
GACGUAGGGCGCGAGCGUUGUCCGGAUUUAUUGGGCGUAAAGAGCUCGUAGGCGGCUUGUCGCGUCGACUGUGAAAUCCCGCGGCUCAACCGCGGGUCUGCAGUCGAUACGGGCAGGCUAGAGUUCGGUAGGGGAGACUGGAAUUCCUGGUGUAGCGGUGAAAUGCGCAGAUAUCAGGGGGGAACACCGAUGGCGGAGGCAGGUCUCUGGGCCGAUACUGACGCUGAGGAGCGAAAGCGUGGGGAGCGAACAGG